GACGAACGCUGGCGGCGUGCUUAACACAUGCAAGUCGAACGUGAUUUUUGUGGAAAGCCCUUCGGGGACGGAAGCGAAAUGAAAGUGGCGAACGGGUGAGUAACACGUGAGCAACCUACCUUACACAGGGGGAUAGCCGUUGGAAACGACGAUUAAUACCGCAUGAGACCACAAAGCCACAUGGCUUAGGGGUAAAAGAUUUAUCGGUGUAAGAUGGGCUCGCGUCUGAUUAGCUAGUUGGAAGGGUAAAGGCCUACCAAGGCAACGAUCAGUAGCCGGUCUGAGAGGAUGAACGGCCACAUUGGAACUGAGACACGGUCCAAACUCCUACGGGAGGCAGCAGUGGGGAAUAUUGCACAAUGGGGGGAACCCUGAUGCAGCGACGCCGCGUGAGCGAAGAAGGUUUUCGAAUCGUAAAGCUCUGUCCUAUGAGAAGAUAAUGACGGUAUCAUAGGAGGAAGCCCCGGCUAAAUACGUGCCAGCAGCCGCGGUAAUACGUAUGGGGCGAGCGUUGUCCGGAAUUAUUGGGCGUAAAGGGUACGUAGGCGGCCUAUUAAGUCAGGUGUGAAAGCGUGAGGCUUAACCUCAUUAAGCACUUGAAACUGGAAGGCUUGAGUGAAGGAGAGGAAAGUGGAAUUCCUAGUGUAGCGGUGAAAUGCGUAGAUAUUAGGAGGAAUACCGGUGGCGAAGGCGACUUUCUGGACUUUUACUGACGCUCAGGUACGAAAGCGUGGGGGAGCAAACAGG
rnacentral:rRNA from 1 species